rnacentral:lncRNA from 1 species
UUCAUUAUUUUUUGCCUGAAUUUCGUUGGAGAAGAUUUGAUUACUAAAUAUUUUGCUGUAAUGAUAGCUCAAGUUUGUUCUCAUAAAAUUAUUUUAGUAUAGUGAAACGAGUGACCGCUCGAGUAUUGAAUCUAAGGGCAGGUGAUGCAUGACAUCAUAAAAUAGGUGGUACACAUUCAAUUUAACUUCAAUCUUGCAAAUCACUUGUUGUAGAUAAAUACACAUACAUUCAUGUUGUAUACACAAGAGUACAUGACAUGACCCUCCCAAAUAGAUGUCCAAUUAAUUGUACCUUUUUACUCUCCAUCAAUACCACUUUGUAGCUCUCUCCUCUUCCUAGUUUAAGCGCUCAUAUGAAUGGUUGCAAGAACGGUGGAAAUGUGCUUGAUAUCCAAAUUUCAAUCUCGGCUGACAAGGUCGCAUGCUAGCUAAUUUGUAGGCCCAAGGAUUCUUGUUAGUAGAGUUGGGAGACAUUUGGGAAUCCAUCUUUUGAGAGAAAACUCUUCACAAUUACUUUAUACCUAUAUCAAGGCAAUUCUCGUGAGAGUGAAUUCUAGUGGGAUUAGUUGUAUCAGCCGUGUUUUUAUUUCGGAGUGGUUCAAUCACCCUUCAUUGUAACACAAGUAAAAUUUAGCUUGCGCACAUCCACUCAAGAUUAACUUCACUUGUAUGACUGGUAGUGUAUGUCACUAUCAUCCAACAUUCUUCUCUAUUAUCAUGUUCCUCCCUCUUCUCCAUGCAUGAGUUAAGGACGGAGUACAUGUGAUACAAUAAAACACAUGACAACACCUCCAUCUGGCUCCCAUCUCUCGGCACAGAAACCACACUCACUUGCCACGAUUGGGGCGUUGCGCCUCAUGCACUGAACCAGGACCACCGCCCGGGUGGCGGUGCUGAUCAAGAUCUUCGCCAUGGUACACAAUGCAGGUGUUUGCAAGCAUUUUGGAUCUUAGAACCAUACAUGAGAAUUGUAUGUAUUCAAGUACAAACCAUAAACAGUACAAGAAAGUGGACUACUACACCCAAAACAACAACCAAGCUGGGAAAAACAUGGCAAAGGAAAAAUAGACCACAACAUCUCAAACGUGAAUUUGUCACGGUUAAGAUAAUAAAAUUUCCAUACUAGCUAUAAGGACAAAACAUUACACAUGGAAAAUUUAGUAUAUUGUUUUAAAAUACGACAAAUUUAGGAUUUUUUGUUACUAAAAAUAUGGCAAAAUUUUGAAAAUUUGUAAUGGG